rnacentral:rRNA from 1 species
GAUGAACGCUGGCGGCGUGCCUAAUACAUGCAAGUCGAGCGAACAGACGAGGAGCUUGCUCCUCUGACGUUAGCGGCGGACGGGUGAGUAACACGUGGAUAACCUACCUAUAAGACUGGGAUAACUUCGGGAAACCGGAGCUAAUACCGGAUAAUAUAUUGAACCGCAUGGUUCAAUAGUUAAAGACGGUUUUGCUGUCACUUAUAGAUGGAUCCGCCCCGCAUUAGCUAGUUGGUAAGGUAACGGCUUACCAAGGCAACGAUGCGUAGCCGACCUGAGAGGGUGAUCGGACACACUGGAACUGAGACACGGUCCAGACUCCUACGGGAGGCAGCAGUAGGGAAUCUUCCGCAAUGGGCGAAAGCCUGACGGAGCACCGCCGCGUGAGUGAUGAAGGUCUUCGGAUCGUAAAACUCUGUUAUUAGGGAAGAACAAAUGUGUAAGUAACUAUGCACGUCUUGACGGUACCUAAUCAGAAAGCCACGGCUAACUACGUG